UAGAGUAUGGUAUUGAGUAAGGUGAGC
rnacentral:piRNA from 1 species